GCCCCAGUAGCUCAGCGGAUAGAGCAGCAGCCUUCUAAUCUGUCGGUCGCAGGUUCGAUUCCUGCCUGGGGCG
rnacentral:tRNA from 2 species